CCCCGUUUGGGUACUGGCGCUGCGCGCUAGCAUGUUCCUUAGUCAUUCGCAAAAGAAAGGUAACAGAUGCAAAUGCAAAUACAAAAAAUCUGGAAAGUUCUUAGGUCUUUCUCCACAGUGCUCCUAACGAGUCUCCUACUAUUAGGAGGGGUAUUCGCUUAUGCCGAGACAGGCGCCGUGAAGUGGUUCAAUGAAACCAAGGGAUUCGGAUUUAUCAUGCAAGACGAUGGAGGAAGCGACGUAUUCGUACACUUCAGCGCGAUACAAGGGGAAGGCUUUAGAACGCUUACCGAGGGCCAGAAAGUCUCUUUCGAUAUCGAGCAGGGCGCGAAAGGCCCUAAGGCGGCAAACGUAAGAGUCGUAAAGUAAGAGUCCUAAAAUCAAAAUGAGCGGCGCUAGCGAGGCUUCGCCU
rnacentral:misc_RNA from 1 species